CAACUUCAACAAUGAAUGGUUCUUAGGCAAUGACUGCAGCCAGAAAUGGUCCUUGGUCCAGUUCGCCCUGGUGGCCUCGCUGCCAGGACUGGGCCUUGCUGUGAUUGUGGGCGUCAUCGUAUACCUUGUGCAUUUCUUCAGGAAGCCAAAGGGUCAUGCAGAUGUGGAAAGUCCCAAGACAGCAAGACAGACCCCAAGCACAAGCUUCGGACACAGCAGACCCGGGAAUAUGUAUGCAAACCCAGUGUUUGCUUCUGACGUGGCGAACAACAGGAGGUCUGAGUCACCCAAAACAGCACAAGAGGAUAUUUCUAUGAUGAGUCGGCCAUUUAGCUAUUCUAGCCAGCCUUCAGCAACUAGCCAGACCUACAACAAUCCAUAUGCCAAGGUGACCAGGAAUCCAUAUGAGGAAGCAAAUGGAUUUAGUGACAACAGAAGAUCUACACAAAAUGGCAUUACGAGAGGGUUUCAACAGGCAAGUUUGAGUUCUCCGUCAUACUCAGCCCCAGACUACGACACCAGGUCUCAGCUUCCUCGUGCCCAGAUGGGAAGACACUACUGAGAGGAGCUCCUGGAGGGGAAGAAUUAACAGCCCACUACAAAGUUUGAUUCCCUGCCUUUGGAAAUCAUAGGGCAAGGCUAGGAAAUGCCUAAUUUCUUUCUACUACCUCCUUACAUUAACACAGUCACCUUUGAGCACUUACUCAGAGUAAAAUGCCAUGUAACGUAACCCAUAUAUUUAACUGUAUUCACAUUUUCAAAUGAAUUUCAUGUGCCACAACUUUGCUUCAAGCUAAAAAUCUACAGUAAUCUGAAGAUGUUUCAGCCAAAAAAGUUGCAUUAUAUUCAAGAUGGUUUUUUAAUGUACUCCCACAUAAUUGCAUCUGACCACUAAAGGAACUUUUUGUCAUAAGUAUUUGUCAUGGGGUCAGAAAUGUGACACUUUUAAUAUAUCCUAUGUAGUCAGUUUACAUUCAAAAUCAUGAAAACAUCUGCAUUACAUUCUGUCACAAGACUGCACAAUGCAUUUGUCAACCAUUGUUUCCACAGCUGGUCAUAAUUCAUUCUUGUCUUGUACUAUGACCUGCGAAGGCCCUGUGGAAGUAGUUGAAAACUCGCUGUUAAAACUGUGCCACCUAGUGAACAGGUUUUGUAAAAGAUGCAGAAAAUUGCCUUUAAGGAUCCAAGUGCUCUAAGCCCAUGGAAACUGCUGCAGUUGACAAACCCGUAACCUUUAAGCUGCAAAGGAACAGUCCAACCACUGAACUUUACGGACUCCCCCCCCCACCAGUACACAAUACUUAAAAUGUUUAAAAAUAUUUAAAAUCAAUUAAUUCUUUUAAAAAGAUGGUCUGUAGUAAUUUUUACACAUUAAAAAAAAUGGUCUGUCUUAUGUGUAUAAUGCAUUUACAUACACUGCCCACCUCUUCAUACAACUCAAAUCUGAAAUGCAGGAAGGUAUGAGAAAAAUAUGGAGAAACAUGGCAUUGUAUUUUCUUGGAUAUUUUUCACCUAACUCAGUCAUAUCAUGUUUACCAGCGAUAGUCUAUCCCAUCCUCUUA
rnacentral:lncRNA from 1 species